rnacentral:rRNA from 1 species
CAAUAGCGUAUAUUAAUGUUGUUGCAGUUAAAAAGCUCGUAGUUGGAUUUCUGGUGGGAGCGGCCGGUCCGCCGUAAGGUGUGUACUUGGUUGUCUCCUGUCAUCCUUGUGGGAACUGCUCUGGCAUUAAGUUGCCGGGGUUAGGGAACACAUCGUUUACUGUGAAAAAAUUAGAGUGUUUAAAGCAGGCUUAUGCCGUUGAAUACAUUAGCAUGGAAUAAUAAGAUAGGACUUUGGCGUCUAUUUUGUUGGUUUGCACACCAAGGUAAUGAUUAAUAGGGAUAGUUGGGGGUAUUCGUAUUCAAUUGUCAGAGGUGAAAUUCUUGGAUUUAUGGAAGACGAACUACUGCGAAAGCAUUUACCAAGGAUGUUUUCAUUAA